UACGGAGGGGGGCUAGCGUUGUUCGGAAUUACUGGGCGUAAAGCGCGCGUAGGCGGCUUUGUAAGUUAGAGGUGAAAGCCCGGGGCUCAACUCCGGAAUUGCCUUUAAAACUGCAUCGCUAGAAUUGUGGAGAGGUAAGUGGAAUUCCGAGUGUAGAGGUGAAAUUCGUAGAUAUUCGGAAGAACACCAGUGGCGAAGGCGACUUACUGGACACAUAUUGACGCUGAGGUGCGAAAGCGUGGGGAGCAAACAGG
rnacentral:rRNA from 1 species